UGCGUAGGUGGUUUCUUAAGUCAGAGGUGAAAGGCUACGGCUCAACCGUAGUAAGCCUUUGAAACUGGGAAACUUGAGUGCAGGAGAGGAGAGUGGAAUUCCUAGUGUAGCGGUGAAAUGCGUAGAUAUUAGGAGGAACACCAGUGGCGAAGGCGGCUUGCUGGACAAAUACUGACGCUGAGGUGCGAAAGCGUGGGGAGCGAACA
rnacentral:rRNA from 1 species